rnacentral:tRNA from 1 species
UCCCUGGUGGCUCAGAUGGUAAAGCGUCUGCCUACAAUGCAGAUGGCCCAGGUUCCAUCUCUAGAUGGGGAA